rnacentral:tRNA from 1 species
GAAAAAGUAUCGCAAGAACUGCUAACUCAUGCCCCCACACCUGAUAACUGUGGCUUUUUCA